rnacentral:rRNA from 1 species
AGAGUUUGAUCCUGGCUCAGGAUGAACGCUAGCGGCAGGCCUAAUACAUGCAUGUCGAACGAGAACCGUUCCUUCGGGAGCGGGGACAGUGGCGCACGGGUGCGUAACGCGUAUGCAAUCUACCUUUAUCAGGGGAAUAACCCGGCGAAAGUCGGGCUAAUACCGCAUAACAUAAUUGAGUGGCAUCAUUUAAUUAUCAAACAUUUAUGGGAUAAAGAUGAGCAUGCGUGACAUUAGCUAGUUGGUGGGGUAAAGGCCCACCAAGGCGAUGAUGUCUAGGGGAUCUGAGAGGAUGACCCCCCACACUGGUACUGAGACACGGACCAGACUCCUACGGGAGGCAGCAGUAAGGAAUAUUGGUCAAUGGAGGGAACUCUGAACCAGCCAUGCCGCGUGCAGGAAGACGGCCCUACGGGUUGUAAACUGCUUUUGUACCGGAAUA